rnacentral:rRNA from 1 species
CCCUUUGAUACUCUGGGCGGCACGCGCGCUACAAUGGAUAACUUAACGUGUUACAUGUCCGAAAGGAUGUAUGCAAAUCACAAAUGUUAUGUCUCGAGUGGGAUAGUUUACUGCAAUUAUAGACUUGAACUAGGAAUCCCUUGUAGGUACACUGAAGCAUAGUGUACCGAAUACGUCCCUGCCGUUUGUACACACCGCCCGUCGUACCUACCGAUUGGAUGGUCCGGUGAAGCCUCGGGAUUGUGGUUCUUGCCGCUUUAUUGUGGCGUGACCGCGAGAACUUGUCUAAACCUUAUCAUCUAGAGGAAGGUGAAGUCGUAACA